rnacentral:rRNA from 1 species
UACGUAGUGGGCAAGCGUUGUCCGGAAUCAUUGGGCGUAAAGCGCGUGUAGGCGGCUUGGUAAGUCUGCUCUGAAAGCCCGGGGCUCAACCCCGGGAGGCGGGUGGAUACUGUCAAGCUCGAGUCCGGAAGAGGAGUGUGGAAUUUACGGUGUAGCGGUGAAAUGCGUAGAUAUCGUAAGGAAGACCAGUGGCGAAGGCGGGUCUCUGGACAGUUCCUGACGCUGAGGCACGAAGGUCAGGGGAGCAAACGGG